rnacentral:rRNA from 1 species
AGAGUUUGAUCCUGGCUCAGGAUGAACGCUGGCGGCAUGCCUAAUACAUGCAAGUCGAACGGACCGAAGGGAAAGCUUGCUUUUCCUGAAGUCAGUGGCGAACGGGUGAGUAACACGUAGGUAACCUGCCCAUGUGCCCGGGACAACGCCUGGAAACGGGUGCUAAAACCGGAUAGGUAGAGAGAUCGCAUGAACUUUCUAUUAAAGGGGCUACGGCCCUGAACAUGGAUGGACCUGCGGUGCAUUAGCUAGUUGGUGAGGUAACGGCCCACCAAGGCGACGAUGCAUAGCCGACCUGAGAGGGCGAACGGCCACAUUGGGACUGAGACACGGCCCAAACUCCUACGGGAGGCAGCAGUAGGGAAUUUUCGUCAAUGGGGGGAACCCUGAACGAGCAAUGCCGCGUGAGUGAAGACGGUCUUCGGAUUGUAAAGCUCUGUUGCGAGAGAAAAACGACACGGAUAGGGAAUGAUCCGUGGGUGAUGGUAUCUCGCCAGAAAGUCACGGCUAACUACGUGCCAGCAGCCGCGGUAAUACGUAGGUGGCGAGCGUUAUCCGGAAUGAUUGGGCGUAAAGGGUGCGUAGGCGGCCCGUUAAGUCUGGAGUCAAAGCCGGCAGCUCAACUGUCGUACGCUUUGGAAACUGGCGGGCUGGAGUGCAGAAGAGGGCGAUGGAACUCCAUGUGUAGCGGUAAAAUGCGUAGAUAUAUGGAAGAACACCAGUGGCGAAGGCGGUCGCCUGGUCUGCAACUGACGCUGAAGCACGAAAGCGUGGGGAGCAAAUAGGAUUAGAUACCCUAGUAGUCCACGCCGUAAACGAUGAGAACUAAGUGUUGGGGGAAUAACUCAGUGCUGCAGUUAACGCAAUAAGUUCUCCGCCUGGGGAGUAUGCACGCAAGUGUGAAACUCAAAGGAAUUGACGGGGGCCCGC